rnacentral:rRNA from 1 species
UACGUAGGGCGCAAGCGUUGUCCGGAAUUAUUGGGCGUAAAGAGCUCGUAGGCGGUUUGUCGCGUCUGCUGUGAAAACCUAAGGCUCAACCUUGGGCUUGCAGCGGGUACGGGCAGACUAGAGUGCGGUAGGGGUGACUGGAAUUCCUGGUGUAGCGGUGGAAUGCGCAGAUAUCAGGAGGAACACCGAUGGCGAAGGCAGGUCUCUGGGCCGCAACUGACGCUGAGGAGCGAAAGCAUGGGGAGCGAACAGG